GAUGAACGCUGGCGGCGUGCCUAAUACAUGCAAGUCGAGCGAAGCGGGGACGGGUGAGUAACACGUGGAUAACCUCCUUUAAGACUGGGAUAAAUUCGGGAAACCGGAGAUAAACCUGAUACUUAUAUAUGGAUCCGGUCUGCAUGAGCUAGUUGUUAAGGUAACGGCUUACAAAGGCAACGAUGCAUAGCCGACCUCUAAGGGUGAUCGGCCACACUGGAACUGGGACACGGUCCAGACUCCUACGGGAGGCAGCAGUAGGGAAUCUGCCGCAAUGGGCGAAAGCCUGACGGAGCAACGCCGCGUGAGUGAUGAAGGUCUUCGGAUCGUAAAACUCUGUUAUUAGGGAAGCGGUACCUAAUCAGAAAGCCACGGCUAACUACGUGCCAGCAGCCGCGGUAAUUC
rnacentral:rRNA from 1 species